AUUCAACGUCGUAGACGCCGCAGUUUGGGGAGAGAAUUUUAGGGGAAGUUUGGCUUCCCUUGUCUCUGAGAAAUCGCCCCUGGUGUGGUGGGUUAUAAAGGACCAGAAUUUCGCUCAGGUACUGUGGUGCAAGACAAAUCAGCACUUUAAAGCUAAGUUAGGCUUUUGAGUUCUGGAAUCAGAUUGGACUGAGGAUUUUAAUUAAUUUUGGAUAACAGCAGCUCUCUAACAGCAGUACUGGCCUCAAGGACUUUGUGAAAGUCAGAGGUAAAACUCUUCCCUUUUUAUUGGUACAAGCUGCAUUUUUUUGUCCGAGAGGAUGU